rnacentral:rRNA from 1 species
AGUAGUUUCGAUCCUGGCUACACGGAACAACGCUGGCGGCAGGCCUAACACAUGCAAGUCGAACGCAUCCUUCGGGGUGAGUGGCGCACGGGUGAGUAACACGUGGGAAUGUGCCCUUUGGUUCGGAAUAACGUCUGGAAACGGACGCUAAUACCGGAUGUCCCCUGCGGGGGAAAGAUUUAUCGCCAAAGGAGCAGCCCGCGUCUGAUUAGGUAGUUGGUGGGGUAAAGGCCUACCAAGCCGACGAUCAGUAGCUGGUCUGAGAGGAUGAUCAGCCACACUGGGACUGAGACACGGCCCAGACUCCUACGGGAGGCAGCAGUGGGGAAUAUUGGACAAUGGGCGCAAGCCUGAUCCAGCCAUGCCGCGUGAGUGAUGAAGGCCUUCGGGUUGUAAAGCUCUUUCGCACACGACGAUGAUGACGGUAGUGUGAGAAGAAGCCCCGGCUAACUUCGUG